rnacentral:rRNA from 1 species
CUACGUGCCAGCAGCCGCGGUAAUACGGAGGGUGCAAGCGUUAAUCGGAAUUACUGGGCGUAAAGCGCACGCAGGCGGUUUGUUAAGUCAGAUGUGAAAUCCCCGCGCUUAACGUGGGAACUGCAUUUGAAACUGGCAAGCUAGAGUCUUGUAGAGGGGGGUAGAAUUCCAGGUGUAGCGGUGAAAUGCGUAGAGAUCUGGAGGAAUACCGGUGGCGAAGGCGGCCCCCUGGACAAAGACUGACGCUCAGGUGCGAAAGCGUGGGGAGCAAGCAGGAUUAGAUACCCUGGUAGUCCACGCUGUAAACGAUGUCGACUUGGAGGUCGUGCCCUUGAGGCGUGGCUUCCGGAGCUAACGCGUUAAGUCGACCGCCUGGGGAGUACGGCCGCAAGGUUAAAACUCAAAUGAAUUGACGGGGGCCCGCACAAGCGGUGGAGUAUGUGGUUUAAUUCGAAGCAACGCGAAGAACCUUACCAGGCCUUGACAUUGACUGA